rnacentral:rRNA from 1 species
GACGAACGCUGGCGGCGUGCUUAACACAUGCAAGUCGAACGAUGAAGCCGGAGCUUGCUCCGGUGGAUUAGUGGCGAACGGGUGAGUAACACGUGAGCAAUCUGCCCUUGACUCUGGGAUAACUGCGGGAAACUGUAGCUAAUACCGGAUACGACACCUUGGGGCAUCCCAGGGUGUGGAAAGAAUUUCGGUCAAGGAUGAGCUCGCGGCCUAUCAGCUAGUUGGUGAGGUAAUGGCUCACCAAGGCGACGACGGGUAGCCGGCCUGAGAGGGUGACCGGCCACACUGGAACUGAGACACGGUCCAGACUCCUACGGGAGGCAGCAGUGGGGAAUAUUGCACAAUGGGCGAAAGCCUGAUGCAGCAACGCCGCGUGAGGGAUGAAGGCCUUCGGGUUGUAAACCUCUUUUAGCAGGGAAGAAGCGAAAGUGACGGUACCUGCAGAAAAAGCACCGGCUAACUACGUGCCAGCAGCCGCCGUAACAC